ACGCUGGCGGCAUGCCUAACACAUGCAAGUCGAACGAACCCUUCGGGGGUUAGUGGCGCACGGGUGCGUAACGCGUGGGGAUCUGCCCUUUGCUUCGGAAUAACAGUUAGAAAUGACUGCUAAUACCGGAUGAUGUCGCAAGACCAAAGAUUUAUCGGCAAAGGAUGAACCCGCGUAGGAUUAGCUAGUUGGUGGGUAAAGGCCUACCAAGGCGACGAUCCUUAGCUGGUCUGAGAGGAUGAUCAGCCACACUGGGACUGAGACACGGCCCAGACUCCUACGGGAGGCAGCAGUGGGGAAUAUUGGACAAUGGGCGAAAGCCUGAUCCAGCAAUGCCGCGUGAGUGAUGAAGGCCUUCGGGUUGUAAAGCUCUUUUACCAGGGAUGAUAAUGACAGUACCUGGAGAAUAAGCUCCGGCUAACUCCGUG
rnacentral:rRNA from 1 species